rnacentral:rRNA from 1 species
GACGAACGCUGGCGGCGUGCUUAACACAUGCAAGUCGAGCGGAAAGGCCCUUUCGGGGGUACUCGAGCGGCGAACGGGUGAGUAACACGUGAGUAAUCUGCCCUUGGCUUCGGGAUAACCACCGGAAACGGUGGCUAAUACCGGAUACGACCAGCCCCGGCAUCGGGUGUUGGUGGAAAGUUUUUUCGGCCAGGGACGUGCUCGCGGCCUAUCAGCUCGUUGGUGGGGUAAUGGCCUACCAAGGCUUCGACGGGUAGCCGGCCUGAGAGGGUGACCGGCCACACUGGGACUGAGACACGGCCCAGACUCCUACGGGAGGCAGCAGUGGGGAAUAUUGGACAAUGGGCGAAAGCCUGAUCCAGCAACGCCGCGUGAGGGAUGACGGCCUUCGGGUUGUAAACCUCUUUCAGUACCGACGAAGCGCCGAUGAUGGUGGUGACGGUAGGUACAGAAGAAGCACCGGCCAACUACGUGCCAGCAGCCGCCGUAAGAC